UGGGGGAUUUUGGACAAUGGGGGCAACCCUGAUCCAGCCAUGCCGCGUGCGGGAAGAAGGCCUUCGGGUUGUAAACCGCUUUUGUCAGGGAAGAAACGCUCUGAGCUAAUGCCUCGGAGUAAUGACGGUACCUGAAGAAUAAGCACCGGCUAACUACGUGCCAGCAGCCGCGGUAAUACGUAGGGUGCAAGCGUUAAUCGGAAUUACUGGGCGUAAAGCGUGCGCAGGCGGUGAUGUAAGACAGAUGUGAAAUCCCCGGGCUCAACCUGGGAACUGCAUUUGUGACUGCAUCGCUGGAGUGCGGCAGAGGGGGAUAGAAUUCCGCGUGUAGCAGUGAACUGCGUAGAGAUGCGGAGGAACACCGAUGGCGAAGGCAAUCCCCUGGGCCUGCACUGACGCUCAUGCACGAAAGCUUGGGGAGCACACA
rnacentral:rRNA from 1 species